GACGAACGCUGGCGGCGUGCUUAACACAUGCAAGUCGAACGAAGUGGCGAACGGGUGAGUAACGCGUAAUCAACCUGCCCUUCAGAGGGGGACAACAGUUGGAAACGACUGCUAAUACCGCAUACUGAUGGAGGGGAUUGCGUGUGAUUUGCUGGUGGGGGGGGUAACGGCCCACCAAGGCGAGGAUCAGUAGCCGGGCGGAGAGGGUGAACGGGCACAAUGGGAACGAGGCAAGGCCCAGACGUCUAAGGGAGGCAGCAGUGGGGAAACUUCCGAAAUGGACGAAAGUCUGACGGAGCAACGCCGCGGGAGUGAUGACGGCCUUCGGGUUGUAAAGCUCUGUUAAUCGGGACGCGGUACCGGAAUAGAAAGCAACGGCUAACUACGUGCCAGCAGCCGCGGUAAUUC
rnacentral:rRNA from 1 species